AUUGAACGCUGGCGGCAUGCCUUACACAUGCAAGUCGAACGGCAGCACGGGAGCAAUCCUGGUGGCGAGUGGCGAACGGGUGAGUAAUAUAUCGGAACGUGCCCAGUCGUGGGGGAUAACGUAGCGAAAGCUACGCUAAUACCGCAUACGAUCUAUGGAUGAAAGCGGGGGAUCGCAAGACCUCGCGCGAUUGGAGCGGCCGAAAUCAGAUUAGGUAGUUGGUGAGGUAAAGGCUCACCAAGCCGCCGAUCUGUAGCUGGUCUGAGAGGACGACCAGCCACACUGGGACUGAGACACGGCCCAGACUCCUACGGGAGGCAGCAGUGGGGAAUUUUGGACAAUGGGCGCAAGCCUGAUCCAGCAAUGCCGCGUGCAGGAUGAAGGCCUUCGGGUUGUAAACUGCUUUUGUACGGAACGAAACGGCGAGCUCCAAUACAGCUUGCUAAUGACGGUACCGUAAGAAUAAGCACCGGCUAACUACGUGCCAGCAGCCGCAGUAA
rnacentral:rRNA from 1 species